AUUUUUCUCCUUCCUCGCAACCGCGCCAGGGAGCUCGCGGCGCGCGGCCCCUGUCCUUCGGCCCGAGAUGAAUCCUGCGGCAGAAGCCGAGUUCAACAUCCUCCUGGCCACCGACUCCUACAAGGUUACUCACUAUAAACAAUAUCCACCCAACACAAGCAAAGUUUAUUCCUACUUUGAAUGCCGUGAAAAGAAGACAGAAAACUCCAAAUUAAGGAAGGUGAAAUAUGAGGAAACAGUAUUUUAUGGGUUGCAGUACAUUCUUAAUAAGUACUUAAAAGGUAAAGUAGUAACCAAAGAGAAAAUCCAGGAAGCCAAAGAUAUCUACAAAGAACAUUUCCAAGAUGAUGUCUUUAAUGAAAAGGGAUGGAACUACAUUCUUGAGAAAUAUGAUGGGCAUCUUCCAAUAGAAAUAAAAGCUGUUCCUGAGGGCUUUGUCAUUCCCAGAGGAAAUGUUCUCUUCACGGUGGAAAACACAGAUCCAGAGUGUUACUGGCUUACAAAUUGGAUUGAGAUUUGAAGCUGCUUCAAAUAACAUACUAUCUGGUUUAUAAAAUGAAAAUAGAAAAUUAUGAUCUUGGAAUGAAGAAGUGAAU
rnacentral:sRNA from 1 species